CCUACGGGUGGCAGCAGUAGGGAAUAUUGCUCAAUGGGGGAAACCCUGAAGCAGCAACGCCGCGUGGAGGAUGAAGGUUUUCGGAUUGUAAACUCCUUUUGUUAGAGAAGAUAAUGACGGUAUCUAACGAAUAAGCACCGGCUAACUCCGUGCCAGCAGCCGCGGUAAUACGGAGGGUGCAAGCGUUACUCGGAAUCACUGGGCGUAAAGAGCGCGUAGGCGGGAUUGCAAGUCAGAUGUGAAAUCCUAGGGCUUAACCAUAGAACUGCAUUUGAAACUGUUAUUCUAGAGUAUGGGAGAGGUAGGUGGAAUUCUUGGUGUAGGGGUAAAAUCCGUAGAGAUCAAGAGGAAUACUCAUUGCGAAGGCGACCUGCUAGAACAUAACUGACGCUGAUGCGCGAAAGCGUGGGGAGCAAACAGGAGUAGAUACCCGGGUAGUC
rnacentral:rRNA from 1 species